rnacentral:lncRNA from 10 species
GCAAUGCCUGCAAACAGCGGCCCGGCUCUCCGCUGGAGUGGGAACGCCUGCUAGGGGCCGGCUCUCAGCUGGAGUGGGAAUGCCUGCAAACAACGGCCCAGCCGGGGAUCUCGGGAACCUGAGCAGCACAGGGUUCAGAGGCGCGUCUUAGAGGGGAGAAGCAAAUUUCCCACGCUCCCCUCAAGGAAGCACUGGAUCCAGACGUGGAAUUCCGCCCUGCCCAGGGCCUCCUCCACACCAGGUGAUUCCAGGAUGCCUGAAAGUGGAGCUGUUGUGACGAUGGCUGAAUGUAGUAUGAAAUGCACGCCAUGAAAUGGAACAGAGACAAUGGCUGAUGUGAAGAGGGAGUGAGAUUCCUGCCCUAUUACGAACUGGAGGAGCUUCCCACCACAGCCCAGGGGAAAGCCUUUGGCCGGCUAAAGACCACAGCACGUGUCGGACCUCCUCCUAUGGGCUCAGGGCCCCUCUCCGUGCUGCCUCUCCACCGGCAGCUUUGUCCAGGCAAGGAAGCCUGAUACAGGCACACCCCCGAACUGGGGCUGAGCCCGGGAGGAUUCUUGGCUUCCUGCAGGAAAGAAUUCAAGAGCAAGUCAACGGAGUAAAGUGAAAGCAAAGCAAGUUUAUUAGAACAAAAGAGAACAAGAAAACGGCUGCUGCACAGACACGUCAGGGUUACCCACAGGCAGGGUGGCAUGCGUGGAUUCCCGGCUGGCUACGGUUAUACCUAGUCCUAAUUCUGUGCUAAAUAAGGGGUGGGUUAUUCAUGAACUUUCUAGAAAAGGGGUGGGGAGUUCCCAGAACCACGUGAGGUAGGUUCCAGGGCAUUGGCAAACUGUCAUGGCGCUGGGGGGAGUGUCUUAGGCAAAUGUAUUAUAAUUCCUGGUCCCAGCUGGUGUUGGCUGGUUUCUUUGCUACAUCCCGUUUUGAUCAGCAGGGUCCUGAAAAUGAGUCCUGCUGAUCUCCAGCCUUAAGCCUGCAUCUAAACACCAGGGGUGAUGUGCAGACCUUCAGUGUACACACAAAACUCCACUCACGGGAGAUGUUGGGCUGUAUGGCUAUGCUCAACUUAAAAUGUUUAAAAACAGGCCGGGCGCGGUGGCUCACGCCUGUAAUCCCA